AGAGUUGCUGUCUGUUUGCAAAUUCCCAGAAAGCUGGGAUUCAAGGCUGCAGAUAACAGCUUCUCCUACAGGCGCCUUGUCCUUUGAUCCCUUACUUGGGAUGCUAUCAGCUUGCAUUUGUGUGAACCUAGUGACUGAGAUGGCUCAG